AGACGCUGGCGGCGUGGAUUAGGCAUGCAAGUCGAACGGUAUCAUCCUUCGGGGGUGAGAGAGUGGCGAACUGGUGAGUAACACGUAGGUUAUCUACCCUCAAGACGGGGACAACCCAGGGAAACUUGGGCUAAUACCGGAUGUGAGCAACUUUAGUUGUUUGAAAGGUGGCGUAAGCUGUCGCUUGGGGAUGAGCCUGCGUCCUAUUAGUUAGUUGGUGAGGUAACGGCUCACCUAGGCAAUGAUAGGUAGGCGGCCUUAACGGGUGGUCGCCCACACUGGGAUUGAGAUACGGCCCAGACUCCUACGGGAGGCAGCAGUCGAGAAUAGUCUACAAUGGUCGGAAGACUGAUAGUGCGACGCCGCGUGAACGAUGAAUCCCUUCGGGGUGUAAAGUUCUUUUAUAUGUGAGCAGUGCUUCUUAUAUUAACAGUAUGGGGAGAGAGAUAUUAGCAUAUGAAUAAGCAACGGCUAACUCCGUG
rnacentral:rRNA from 1 species